UAGCGGAGUGAACGCCUCGCCCCGCCUAUUCUUCCACCAUCCAAAAUCCUCCACCAAGCGCAGAGAGAGAGAGCCUCACACCAAACGGUGUCUCCCAUGGACGACCUCGCCGUCGCCCAUCCCAUCACCAGCGUCUACUUCCGGCUCGCCGUCCUCCCUCCCGGGGUCGACCUUCUCCUACCUCUUCCCUGACGGCGAUGAGGAGAGGCAGUGGUUGACCUCAGACAGACGUGGCUCACUCCCAGCCACCGCUCCUUGAUGGGAUGAGGGGGUGGCGGCAGCGGCGAGUCGUGCCUUUCCGGCAGCCCCGUGCCCGACCGCCAGCGUCGUAGUUGCAGAAGCGCCGCCGGGAGUUUGCUUGACCGGGCUCGCUCUCCGCCGGUGAGGUGGAGACGGAUUUGCACGCGCUCUAGAUCUGAGCGAGUGGCUGUAGAGCUUGUCUCUGGCUAGAUCUGAGCCAGCGGCUGGCGGAGCCUUCAUCCGGCUAGAUCUGAGUCGCCGGGCUCCCUCUAGAUCCGAGCUGGUGGAGGUCGUUCGGCUCGUUCUUCUCCAGUUAUCUUGAGGUUCUGCAGCGCAACAUGCCAGUUCAGAAUCACGAAAAAAUAAUGGAAGAUGCACUGAAGAGGGAGUUCCAGCAUUGCAUGUUUAGUCACGCGCCUCCUCGUGUACACAUCCAGCAGAGCCAAGACCCACCUGAAUUAGAGAUCAACUUGGGUAUGGCUGUUGAUGAUGGCGCGCCAGUGCUCCCCCAUGGAAAUCAUGAUAACCAUGCACAUGCACUUCACCGACUCCUGAAGCUUGGCAUUCUCGGGGGACCUGAUGGAUGUCUUCAUGAUGUGGUCUAUAUCUAGUAGAUUUGUUUCUGUGAUUCCUGACUUCUAGAAGUGUGGUUUGUGAGUAUGACUAAUAUGUAGCCACUAUUCUGGGUUUAGUUGAGACUUGGGACAUGAUUAGGCACUAUUCUGGCUAGUAGUAGAAUGUAAGUAAGCGAAGCAUGCCUGGUGAUGAUUGUAGCCUAUCAUCGAAGCUUUGGAAGUUGGAUUCAGACUUGAUCUGCUGCUGCUCCUUUCAUUGGGAGUAUGCCUGAACUUCCUUCUCAACAAGAGAUUUACUUCAUUUC